UACGGGGGGGGCAAGCGUUGUUCGGAAUUACUGGGCGUAAAGGGCUCGUAGGUGGCCAACUAAGUCAGACGUGAAAUCCCUCGGCUUAACCGGAGAACUGCGUCUGAUACUGGAUGGCUUGAGUUCGGGAGAGGGAUGCGGAAUUCCAGGUGUAGCGGUGAAAUGCGUAGAUAUCUGGAGGAACACCGGUGGCGAAGGCGGCAACCUGGACCGACACUGACACUGAGGAGCGAAAGCCAGGGGAGCAAACGGG
rnacentral:rRNA from 1 species